rnacentral:rRNA from 1 species
AGACCCGAAACCCGGUGAUCUAGCCAUGGGCAGGUUGAAGGUUGGGUAACACUAACUGGAGGACCGAACCGACUAAUGUUGAAAAAUUAGCGGAUGACCUGUGGCUGGGGGUGAAAGGCCAAUCAAACCGGGAGAUAGCUGGUUCUCCCCGAAAGCUAUUUAGGUAGCGCCUCGUGAAUUCAUCUCCGGGGGUAGAGCACUGUUUCGGCUAGGGGGCCAUCCCGGCUUACCAACCCGAUGCAAACUGCGAAUACCGGAGAAUGUUAUCACGGGAGACACACGGCGGGUGCUAACGUCCGUCGUGAAGAGGGAAACAACCCAGACCGCCAGCUAAGGUCCCAAAGUCAUGGUUAAGUGGGAAACGAUGUGGGAAGGCCCAGACAGCCAGGAUGUUGGCUUAGAAGCAGCCAUCAUUUAAAGAAAGCGUAAUAGCUCACUGGUCGAGUCGGCCUGCGCGGAAGAUGUAACGGGGCUAAACCAUGCACCGAAGCUGCGGCAGCGACACUAUGUGUUGUUGGGUAGGGGAGCGUUCUGUAAGCCUGUGAAGGUGUGCUGUGAGGCAUGCUGGAGGUAUCAGAAGUGCGAAUGCUGACAUAAGUAACGAUAAAGCGGGUGAAAAGCCCGCUCGCCGGAAGACCAAGGGUUCCUGUCCAACGUUAAUCGGGGCAGGGUGAGUCGACCCCUAAGGCGAGGCCGAAAGGCGUAGUCGAUGGGAAACGGGUUAAUAUUCCCGUACUUGGUGUUACUGCGAAGGGGGGACGGAGAAGGCUAUGUUGGCCGGGCGACGGUUGUCCCGGUUUAAGCGUGUAGGUGUGUGUUCCAGGUAAAUCCGGUUCACUUUAACACUGAGGCGUGAUGACGAGGCACUACGGUGCUGAAGCAACAAAUGCCCUGCUUCCAGGAAAAGCCUCUAAGCAUCAGGUAACAUCAAAUCGUACCCCAAACCGACACAGGUGGUCAGGUAGAGAAUACCAAGGCGCUUGAGAGAACUCGGGUGAAGGAACUAGGCAAAAUGGUGCCGUAACUUCGGGAGAAGGCACGCUGACAUGUAGGUGAAGUGAUUUACUCAUGGAGCUGAAGUCAGUCGAAGAUACCAGCUGGCUGCAACUGUUUAUUAAAAACACAGCACUGUGCAAACACGAAAGUGGACGUAUACGGUGUGACGCCUGCCCGGUGCCGGAAGGUUAAUUGAUGGGGUCAGCGCAAGCGAAGCUCCUGAUCGAAGCCCCGGUAAACGGCGGCCGUAACUAUAACGGUCCUAAGGUAGCGAAAUUCCUUGUCGGGUAAGUUCCGACCUGCACGAAUGGCGUAAUGAUGGCCAGGCUGUCUCCACCCGAGACUCAGUGAAAUUGAACUCGCUGUGAAGAUGCAGUGUACCCGCGGCAAGACGGAAAGACCCCGUGAACCUUUACUAUAGCUUGACACUGAACAUUGAGCCUUGAUGUGUAGGAUAGGUGGGAGGCUUUGAAGUGUGGACGCCAGUCUGCAUGGAGCCGACCUUGAAAUACCACCCUUUAAUGUUUGAUGUUCUAACGUGGACCCGUGAUCCGGGUUGCGGACAGUGUCUGGUGGGUAGUUUGACUGGGGCGGUCUCCUCCUAAAGAGUAACGGAGGAGCACGAAGGUUGGCUAAUCCUGGUCGGACAUCAGGAGGUUAGUGCAAUGGCAUAAGCCAGCUUGACUGCGAGCGUGACGGCGCGAGCAGGUGCGAAAGCAGGUCAUAGUGAUCCGGUGGUUCUGAAUGGAAGGGCCAUCGCUCAACGGAUAAAAGGUACUCCGGGGAUAACAGGCUGAUACCGCCCAAGAGUUCAUAUCGACGGCGGUGUUUGGCACCUCGAUGUCGGCUCAUCACAUCCUGGGGCUGAAGUAGGUCCCAAGGGUAUGGCUGUUCGCCAUUUAAAGUGGUACGCGAGCUGGGUUUAGAACGUCGUGAGACAGUUCGGUCCCUAUCUGCCGUGGGCGCUGGAGAACUGAGGGGGGCUGCUCCUAGUACGAGAGGACCGGAGUGGACGCAUCACUGGUGUUCGGGUUGUCAUGCCAAUGGCACUGCCCGGUAGCUAAAUGCGGAAGAGAUAAGUGCUGAAAGCAUCUAAGCACGAAACUUGCCCCGA